CCUACAUCAGAUUGAUCAGACACAAAUUACAAAUCCCUCUUUUUUUAUUUUUACACAAAAUUGUCUAACAAAAAUUCUUAGCAGAUAUGAUUGCCUGAACAAAACUGAAGGUUUCAGAGGACACUGUCUAGCGGAAGAGUCCUCUCUUUUCUAUGCUCAAUCACUUCACUUCUCUAAUACUUCUUCUUGCAUGUCUUAGAAUCAUGGCUUUGCUUACUAAUUCAUUUUCGAUGCGGUCCCUUCUUGAUUUGUAUGAAGGAAAUUUAUUUAUUGCACUCGUGGUUGUGGGUUAUUUAUUCAUUUGUGAUUACUUUGUUUGUUGUAUGUCGUUCGAUUCCAUUAUCUUUUUUUGUCCGCAUAUCUUCGGCGUGGUCACUAUUUCCUUUAUUUUAUGGCUUGGAUGAGUUGGUUUCUAAAGAAUGAAUUAAAUGCUAAGUUGAUUUUCAGUUAUGGGGUAUUUUGGUUCGUACUUCAGUUGAUCUAUAUUAAAGACACAUACACAUGUGGCAAGGAGUAUAACGUAGAAUUAUUUCCAUAUAAUGAUUUUAUUGAGAAUAUAUGGAAAAUUUAAGUUUUGGUGAGAUGAAAAGUUAGUUAAAUGACAAUCUAGUUAGUUUUAUGUGUUGGAGGCUUAGAACCCUUCAAUAUUUAUUGUGUAGUGAUUCCAAUGUACUAAAACCUAUUGCAGUAGAUGAGGGUGAAGAGUAUGUGGCUGCUCAUUGUACUAUGCUAUUCAUCAUAGUGAGGUUUCUUUGGGCACUGUAAGUGCUGGAACUGAUUGUGAUAGUUUUGAGAAGGAGGAAGGUAAUGACCCUGCAUCUAGAGAUUAUUAUAGUGAGGAGUUCAAGGUGUUAAGAAGGGAAAGGACUAAAGAAAUCAGCGAAAAAUUAGACAAGUACAAAGAGUUGGAAGAAGGUAAUGACUUGUAAAGAUAUCCAGAACCUAGGAAAGUUAUAUGCAAUUGCUAAUGUAAGAGUUUUAAGAUAGAAAAGAGUGACUCAGAAAGUCUUAAGAUACAAAUGGUACGUUAGAUGUUCUUUCAACUGUUUAUAUUUAAGGAUGGGCAAAACCAAACCUUUUCAGAUCAAGACUUUGAACAACAAAUCACCAUAAAUAAUCCAGAUUUACCAGAAUCAUGGAGGUGGUUCUCAAACUUUAGCACAGAUCCAUUAAAAGCUUUAACACAGAUAGAGUAAAAAAAUCAGCUUCAUUAGAAAGCAAUAAAAGCUUCAACAUGAAUGUAGUAAUAUUUUUUGUUGAAGGCCAAGAAUAUAGAAAACCCAAACCAUUAAAAGUUCCGUAAAAGCAACAACAACAUCAUACCCAGUGUAAUCUUACAAGUGGUUUUGGAGAGGGUAGAGAGUAAGCAAACCUUAUCCCUACCUUGUGGAGGUAGAGGAGAGGGUAGAGAGUAAGCAAACCUUAUCCCUACCUUGUGGAGGUAGAGAGGUUGUUUCCGAAAAGCCCUAAACUCAAGUGCAUCAAACGAAAAUAGAAAAAGUUUCAUAAAGCAUUAAAAUAAAUUACCUUAAUAACAAGACUUCAAAACUGACUGGUCAAGAAGAACCUUCAACAUCCAAUGAAGUUAUGACCCACAAUUUCCAUGUUUGAAGAGCAAAAGUUUCGCCCUAAAUCGCCUCAUUAUCUCUAAACUUCUAGGAAAUAACGGAUACCCUUGGAAGAAAAGAAAGUAUCAGGUGUUUAAUUUCUUAAAAUGAAAACAAGUUGGGUUUGUGUAAAUGUGUGGGUUUUAAUAUAAUCAUGCAUUAAGUAUGUUGCAAGCUUAGAAUGACAUGUGACUAUUUGAAAGACCGAGUUUUGACCCAGCCUGGUCCAUUAGUUUCAAGGGUAUGUUUGAGCCCCAAAAUGUUAAGAGUAUCUCUUGACUAAAAAGUUAAUGGAAGGUAUUUAUGAUCCAUUUUGAAUGCGUUAGGAAUAUUUUUGGUUUAUUUCCACUAUUUUGAUGAACCAAAUUCAACCCAGGCUUGUCAUUUAGUUUCACAUAUACAUUUUAGCUCAAAAAAACUCAAAGGUAUUUUUAGACCAUAAGGUUAACGGAGGGCAUAUGUGAGCCUUCUUCAAUACGUUAGGCGUGUCUUUUCCCUUUUCCGAACUUCAAAAGGUAUGAAAUGAUGUUGUCUUUCAUCUGCAUUAGAACAAUUUAAAAGUCUAUGAAUUACAAAAAAUAAAAUAAAUCAUUUUCUAAUUAAAACCCACUCAUUUAUUUAGUAAAUGAUUUUAUAAUUGUUCGUAAUUCAUAGACUUUCCGAUGCAGAUGAAAGACAACAACACUUCAUAUCUUUCCAAGUUCAGAAAAGGGUCAAAUAUACGCCUAACGUAUUGAAAAUGGCUCACAAAUGCCCUCUGUUAACCUUUAGUCUAAAAAUAUCCUUCAGUUUUUUCGGGCUUUAACAUAUAUGUGAAACUAAACGACAAGCCUGAGUCAAAUUUGGAUCAUCAAAAUAGUGGAAAUGAGCCUAAAAUAUCCCUAACACAUUGAAGAUGGAUCAAAAUAUCCUCCUUUAACCUUUUGGUCAAAAAUUACUCUUAAAUGUUUAUUUUGGGCUCAAUCAAACCCUUAAAACUAACGGGCCAACUUGGUUCAAAAUUGGGUCUUCAUAACAGUCACACAUCAUUCUAAGCUUGCCACAUUUUUAGUUCAAGAUUAAAUUAAAACCCACACAUUUAUUAAAACGCAACCCAUUUUCAUUUUAAGAAAUUAAACACCUAAUACAAUCUUUUCUUCCAGAGGUUAUUUCCUAGAAGCUUAGAGGGAAUAGGCUAUUUAGUGCUAAGCUUUUGUACUUUAAAUUGGGGAUUGUGGGUCAUAACUUUUGGAUAUUACAGGAUUCUUCUUAAUCAAUCAGUUUCAAAGUCUUAUUAUUAAGGUAAAUUUUUUACUUCUUUAUCUGAAGAUUUUUCUAUUUUGAUUUGAUACACUUGAGUUGAGGUGUUUUUGGAAACAACCUCUCUACCACCAGAAGGUAGGGAUAGGCAAAACUUAGGAUUUUUUGUAAAGCAACCCACCUAAUAUGGUAUACCCUUUACCAACAAUGCACGAGCAACAAUUAAGCAAAUAUGGUGCACUAUAAGCUGGAAUCACUUGUGUCUUAAACCAUGUAUAUAUAAUUAGCAAAAAUUUUAUAGGAGAACAAACCAUCCAUAAUAUGAAUAAAAGGAUUAAGAAAGUAUUUGAUAACUAACCGAAUCCUGAAUUGCAUUACAAAGCACUAGCCACCGAUAAUGACAUCAUUGGACAACUUAAAACAUUCCAUCCAAUGCCCAAUACAUUAAUACUAACAAAUGUGUUUGCGGAAACACUUAUUCUAUAGUUUCUUCUUCUUCCUUGUCUCUUUCUUUAUACCUGUAGUUUAUUUUUCAUUAUCAUUAGCAGCCACACGUUUCCGCUUCUUUUCCAUACAUUUCAGUGAGGUGGAUUGCACAGUAGGUGAAACAAUCUUUCACAUGUCUGAAUGCAAGAGGAUCACCACCCUGCAAUAAAACGAAUCAAGUCAUGUCGAAGCUACAAGAAAAAGAUAUCCGAACAUCUAACAAGAACUAAACUUCCAUUCAUACUUUUUCGAGAUAUUCUAAUAUCCUUAUGAUUUCUUCUCGUUCAGCACACACAUGUCUGCCAAUAAAAAGAAACCACACCAUAAAUAUAGACCUGGUAAUUUAUAAUUGAAAAACUUCAUUUAGGCUGGUUAAGAAAGCAGUGGAAUCUAGCAGUACUUCAUCUCUGCUCGAAUCUUCUCAAGUGCUGGAGAUGUUUUGGUACCAAUACCAACUUCGCCAUCAACCAAUCCUCUCAAUCCAUUUUGGUCCACAAAUCCUCCUUCGACCAGAUUAGGUCUAAACUUUAGUCCAGAAAUUCCUAUUAAUUGAGCAGCAGAAGCAAAAAUUAACACCUGAAAUACAAGAGACAAAAAUUAAACACUAGUCCGUUUGAAGGACAAUCCGUAGAAAAACUUGGGAAUUUAUCCCAUAAGAAACUCCAUGUAGUUCUGUUUUGGCCCAAACCCAUAAAAAUUAGAGUCCACAGCUGUAAGCCGUAGACUUAUUUCUUGCAAAACCCCUAAAACCCUUCUAUUGGAAGAACCCCAUAUUCCCUCUAUAUGCUCAUCUAUGGUUCAAUGACCAAAUAACCAAAAAUGCACCAAUGAUAUAGUUGAGAAAAUUCAAUUCUUGGCGUUUUCUAACAAUUCUUCAACUUCCCCCAAACCUAAUAGCAUUUGCAUGCUUGAACUCUUCAAUGCCAUAUCAAUUUUCAUCAUCUUUUUGGAGACCCUUUUUGUUUUCAGUUCAGUUUCAUAAAGAAUCAACUAGUUCAGAUAGUGUAGCCAAGAAACAAAAGCAAAGAAACCAUUGGGUGUUUCCCCAAGAAGCUGUUAUCCUCUUUUGAAAAUUCUAAAUAAUCAGAAAGUGAGGUUUAAACUGAAAACAAAGAAUUGAAGUGCAAGUUGAGAAAAUUGGAGGGAGAAAUGACGGUUUUGUUGUAGAAGAGGAAUGAGGAAAAGGAUAAUGGGAAGAAGGAAGUUCGAAAUGCUAAUGGGGUAUCAGAAAAUGAGGGAAAAAUUAAGAAAUUACAUGAAUUAUUUAUGAAUUAGGUGGUUACAUGAAUUGGUUGUGGUCAUUCUCUGACUGUAACAUUUGAUCAUUGAGGACUUGAGGUUUUGCAUUGUGUAAUUUGUGUUUUGUUGAUAUACCAAAAUCUUUCAACAAUGCACUUCUGAUAGAAUUUAGUUUGCUAAUCAUUGAAAAACUGGGGAAGUAUUUGUCUAUGUCUACGCCUUAUAGAAGCUGACAUUCGCAAACUGAUAACUGAUUAUGUUGUGUGUUUGGGGAAUAUGUCAUUUUUAAGCAAGGGGCACGAAAGCUGGGGACACCACGAUCAUAAAAAAAUGUCAUUCUUUCGGAUUCCUCAAGUAAAGAAAAAUGUUGACCAGAGUUCUACACUUCUCACCAAAAAGUGCUAAGUCAUAGAUUUGUGCUGGUCUUGAGCGAUAUGAGACAUCAUUAUAUCCGCUUCCAACCCUCGGUUCUCCAUGAGCAGGAAAGGUAAAGAUAAAGGAGAUAAAAUUCUCUAUAAAAUCAUCAGAUUGUUAAACAUGAAAGAAAUACUCCUAGUACUAUUAAUCAUAGUGAAGUUUCUUCAUGUAGCAUAGAUGUAUUAGGAGAAAUCACAUUGUCUUCACCUCAUCUACUGCAAAUUCUUUAGAACAUUGAAUUUACUACAAGAAAUAUUGAAGGGCUCUAAUACCUCCCAACACAUACAAUAUCAUAAACGCUCUCAGGUACUUUUUUUGAGGUUCAGUUGUAGCCCUUUUUGCAUUUUUCACUCUCUAGGGGAGAAGUUCUCUGGCUGCUCUUCACUAGGAAUCUAUACUUCUCCUCUUUGCAUGUCCAAAACCAUGUCACCCUCACUUUCCUUAUCUUAUGCACCAUACAGGCAACUCCUACAUUGUCCCAGAUAUAUUAGUUCCUAGUCUUAUCCCUAUGAGUAUCACAUCUACCUCCACAUUCUCAUCUUUGCAGUUUUCAUCUUCUAAACAUGUGAGUUCUUAGGACAGAUGGAGUAGUAAACAAAGCCAUUAAAAGUUUCAACACAGAUGGAUUAGAAAAACAAAAAACAACUUCAUGAGAAAGCAUUAUAAAAUUCAACAUGAUUGGAGUAAUUUUUUUUAUCGAAGGCCAAGGCCCAAGAUUAUAGGAAUCUCAAACCAUAACAAGUUUCAUACAAACAACCUAUGCGGCUUGGACUCUUCAAAAAUGUCAACGGGUGCGUGUCUGAUUGGCCAAAAGUAGUGUAUUUUUGAAGAAUUCGAGACAAGUACGGCAUUAAAAGUGAAGAGUCUGCAACUAUUUAAACAACAACAUCUACAUCAUACCACUAUUUUGGUGGCAAAAGGCGACAAGGGUCUACCUCGCCAUAGUCGUACUGCAGAAAAAUAAAGAAAAAGAAGAAAAGAAGAGAUUUGACUAAGUCACCAGGGUCGUACCCAAGCAGCAGUCCCGCAAGUCGUACCUGAGCAGCAGCGUCGCGAUUCGCGAAGGUCGCGUAAGUCCAGUGAGGAGGACCAGCAGACGUGACACCUAAUCUGAGAUGGUUGUCUGGCAGUGACUUGAAAAAAGUCGCCCUUUUUGGUUGCCCUUCUAUUGCAAACAAGACUGUUUUUUCUGCUAAGAGGUUGCGUGCAUAUUUCAGAAUUCAAGAAGUUGAUUAUGCAGCAAAUGUGCCUUAAAUGCAUCACGCAAGUUUGUGAAUCAGAAUGUCUGGAAAGCCGAUAUGACAUGCACUGGAAUCAGUUCCUCCCCUGUCAGUAAAACCAGAUGAUAUAAAGGCUUCUGUCAGUCAGUUGCUGAUGGACAUUUUGAGACUUAGUCAAAAUGUCUCUUAAUCGCUUCUUCAGAUAUCCGAUGAGUUGAUCAGCAGCAGCAUACAGGUAACAUUGGUCUAAUUGUCAGUGAGAUGCUUAUACCCCGUCAUGAUCAUGCUAGUUCUACGCGUGGUUGCACUGUAUUUUCACGAAUUGUAGUUCCUGUGGUAAUGAAUCCAUGUGCCAGAUGGACAGUCGGGUUGAAUCUCUGGACAACAACAGAACCUUAGUUGGUAGAGGUGAUGUUUCUUAUAGGAAAACUGUAAAUGUAUCUCCUUCGAAACACAUCUUUGUUGAUCCAUGACCCAAGAUUUCCUUCAACUUUACGGAUAGCCAAAGUGUACCCAAGUCAAAUAUUUGCAAUUGUAGGGAAUAUAUCAAGGCUGAGAAUUACUUUCUUUAGCCAAGUUUACUAUUUGAAUUUAAUACUGAACAUAUAUAUGGUAAUUGUGUAUGAUUAUGGUAUUCAUUUGAUUGAAUUCAAUGUAAUACUAAAUCUGAUAUUUUUUUUAUAAUAUAAACUACUGACUAAUAAUC